CUUCUUGUUCUUCAAGAGCCCAAGAAAAAGGGUGUGGUGAGGAAGCCAGCUGACCCACAACUGGCUGGAAGCUGAUCGUCUCCAACAUCCCUAAGUAUAGUCAGGAAUGUGACAACCAGAAAGUUGUGAGGAGACUGCAAAGCAAAGAGCAGCCCAUGCCCGCUGUGGCUGUGCAGGUGGGAGGGACACUGUCGGCAGAGCUGCAGCCUUGGUCUGAGGGUGUAAGACCUCCAGCUCUGCUCUGAGAGGAGUACACAGGGCAGGUAGUUCAGUCUAAGGCCUGGAGUGCCCUCCAGGCCCUCACAGAGCCUGGGCCUCAGGCCCCUGCCCCACCUCCACAGAGAGCCUCCAGAGGCUGGCCAGGCCCUUGGGGAGUCUUGUGGAUAGCCCUGAAUAAGGACCUGGGCGCAGAUCAGGUGAGUAGUGCAGUGCGGCAAUGCCGAGGAGACUCACACUUUAACAGGGCUCUGCCUGCCCCCAGUGUCUCUACCAGCAAAGCCAGGGCUGGGAAGAAUUCCAGCUGCACGAGAGCAGCUUUUGUGCCUGUCUCGGAGAAAACAUCCUAUCCCGUCUCCUUUCCUCCCUUCUCUGAGAAGACAGCCCCCUCCAGUCUCACCUUGCAUGGGGACAGCUCAGGGCUCCUUGCUUGCUCAGGCACAGACUGAGAGGCCUCAGCUGCCCAGCUGGCCCUCAGCAGCGCCUCAGGCUGCCGUUGCCAUGGCAACGGAGGAAAGGCUGACUUCAGCGAGGGCAGAUAAGAGGGAAAGGCGAGAGAGGCCCCACAUGGCCACUGCAGAACCAUCCUGGCACACAGACAUGCUCC
rnacentral:lncRNA from 1 species